rnacentral:rRNA from 1 species
CAGUAGCCGCGGGAAUACAGAGGGUGCGAGCGUUAAUCGGAUUUACUGGGCGUAAAGCGUGCGUAGGCGGCUUCUUAAGUCGGAUGUGAAAUCCCUGAGCUUAACUUAGGAAUUGCAUUCGAUACUGGGAAGCUAGAGUAUGGGAGAGGAUGGUAGAAUUCCAGGUGUAGCGGUGAAAUGCGUAGAGAUCUGGAGGAAUACCGAUGGCUAAGGCAGCCAUCUGGCCUAAUACUGACGCUGAGGUACGAAAGCAUGGGGAGCAAACAGGAUUAGAGACCCCUGUAGUCCCUGUCUCUUAUAC